rnacentral:lncRNA from 1 species
CCGGCCCGCCUCCCACUCUUAAUCUGUGACGGGUUAAAAAUAGUUAUUCCAUAAUCCGUCCCGCCUCAUAACCCGCUUCCCGCCGCGCCCCGAAUCCGCCACGCCAAAUAGUAUUUGUUUUAUAAAUUAUAAUAUUAUUAACAUUUUGUAAAUAUAAAUCAACAAAAUUUUUAAUAUUAAUUGAUAAUAUUAUCAAGUUAUAUAUAAAUAACAAUAUUAACUAUAAAAAUAAAAAAUAUUAAUUGAUAAUAUUAUCAAGGGCGGCGGCUGGCGGAGGCAAGGGAAAGGGCGGCGGCCGGCGGAGGUGAGGUCAAGGACGGUGCCCGGCAGAGGCGAGGGAAAGGGGUGGCGACCGGUCGUGUUGGGGGAGGCGAGGGAAAGGGGGCCGGUGGAGGCGAGGGGAGAAAAUGGGCAACGGCUGGCGGAGGGGAGAAAAUGGGUGAAGGCCGAUCGGGUUGGGGGAGAAGG